AGCACAUCACAAUGAACGGUGUACAUAAAACAACAGGCAGCAACUUAUUAUUAUUGAAUUUAUUCUAUCAGCAAUUAUUAAUAAAUCACGAAAGAAAGAGUGAAGGAAUAGACAACCAAUCCUUUCUUCAGAAAACUCCUCUUCCAACUCUCUUCUGACUCAGAUCAACAAAUAUAAUAUUCAUGACAUGGAACUUGAAAAGUCCUACUUCCAGUUCAAUGACCAGAGCUGAAACUUGAUGCAGAAGGGUGUUUAAAGGUUUCAUGAGAAGGAUCCAUCAUCAAUUUAAUGUUUGUAUUCUGAACCAAAUAUAGGAAAAGGGAAACAGCAGAUAGAUUUUCUCGGGCAAAUUUACUAGAACUAAUGCAAGUGAUACAAUUAUGAUUUACUUCCCAGUGAUGCUGAUAACUACAAAUCUACAAAACACUGUCCUCACUUCUCAAAUUCUAAUUUCCUAUGAACAGUAACAAUUGGAAAUUUUUGAAACAAAACAAAUAGUGAAACUUCUGUUAGCAAAACUGUGACAAAAGAAAGAAGCUAAUGGCAAAGAAACAAAGAUUUUAAGUCUUCAGUGACAAACAUGAUGAUCAAUGGAAAGAAAAAUUGUUACCCAUUUGUUGAGCAACUGAAAGUCCUAUUACUUUGUUUCUUCCCACAUUUCUUGCUACUUUCUCUGUCUAGUCUUCUAUUAUUUACAGUAGGUGAAAUUUGAAGGAUAGCCCCAGUAUCCCGUUCAAAGGUGCAAAUUAUCAUUGCCAGAGCCUCAGCCAUCUAGUCUCGAACAUCAUAAGCUACACUCUCUCUCCCAGUUCGUCGAUUACCGCAUCUUUCAUUGAGAAACCAUCUAGGAUAUCAUUUUCAGAAUCAACCUGAAGCUCUUUGAACAUGGCCAUCACCUGAAUCAUUGUUGGUCUCUUGAAAGGCUUUUCUUCAAGGCACGCAAAAGCAAUUCUCAGAUACUGAUGUAAUUCACCCUCACAAGAUUUUUGCACUGUUAACUCAGUAUCCAGUAUCCCAUUGUCUCUAUCUUCCAUGUGAAGUUGUUUUGCCCAUCCUACAAGGUUGUUGUCAUCCCCAAACUCCGAUGGGUCUAUUGGCUUCUUACCUGAGAGUAGCUCUAGCAGUAUGACACCAUAGCUGUAAACAUCUCCCUUUGUUGUGCACCUAAAGCUCUGAUAAUACUCAGGAGGCACAUAACCGGGAGUUCCUGCAAGUGUGCUAACGCUAAGAUGCGUGUCGAGAGCAUUCACCAAUCUGGCCAUGCCAAAAUCAGAAACUCUGGCCUCAAAGUUUUCAUCUAGAAGAACAUUGCUAGACUUCAUAUCACGGUGGAUAAUGUGUGGUAUGCAGCUGUGGUGAAGGAAUGCAAGACCUCUCGCUGAACCCACGGCAAUCUUCUUUCUUGCUGCCCAAUCAAGCCUUGAGCACCCUCCUUUGGACCUGUCAUGAAGAACUGAUUCUAAACUUCCCCAUUUCAUGUACUCAUACACAAGAAGCCUCUCCUCUCCUACCUUACAGUAACCCAGCAGAGGAACCAGGUUCCUGUGCUUUAUUUUCCCAAUAGUUUCCAUUUCUGCCAUAAACUCUCUGUCUCCCUGGCCUGUAACAUGAACCAGCUUCUUUAUUGCAACAAUACAGUCAUCUCUUAGCUUUGCCUUGUAGACCUGUCCAAAACCUCCAGACCCUAUCAAGCUGUCAUCACUAAAACCAUUGGUAGCUUCAAGCAGAUGUGCAAAGGUCAGCUUACGCAAAGGUUUCUCAAAUGUGGCAAUAUUGAUGCUCAAAGGCUCAGGAACGCCUGAAAGUUUCCAGCUGCUGCUACCUGAAGUUGGAAGGCUUUCAAUAUACUUCUCUUUCUGUUCAUCCUUUUGCUGAAACUUCUUCACACGAUAAAAAGCUAAUGUGAAGACAAAGAUGCACACCACAAAGAAUAUGAUGCCAAUGACCAUCCCAGCUGCCACAGACUGCUUCUUUCCCUGAUGAUAAGAGCCUGGCUGGCGGCCUCCAGAGCUACAAGGAAGCAAUGGUACCCCACAAAGGCCAGAAUUGUUUUCGUAUCUGGAUGCUGGGAAAGUGGUUAGCUGACCACCGAAAGGGAUGGGACCAGAAAGGUUGUUAUUAGAGACAUCAAGAUCAUUAAGAAAUGAAAGAGUCCCCAAAGAUGCUGGGAUAGAUCCUUGAAGAUCAUUGUGAGAGAGAUCCAGAACUCCAAUUUCUUUCAGACCUCCAAAACUGUCAGGAAUAUUUCCAAUUAGCUUGUUAUGCCCCAAAUUCAGAACCUGCAAAUAGCUCAUCAAACCAAAAUUUUCAGGGAUAGUUCCGGACAAGGAAUUGUAGGCAAGAUCAAGGUAUAUCAUGCUGCCAUUGCUGGAAAAGGUGUAAACUGUCUUCCCAGAAUAAAUUCUGGUCGUUGGACAAGAGUGAACCAUGUGUAAAUUUUCCAGCCUCUCUGAUCGAAUCCCCUCAAAUUCAACUAGUCCUCCAGCUCCUCUGCAAGAUGUCCCACCUUCAUUUCUCACAAAUGCAAACUGCUUUCCUGAUACAAUUCCAGGAAUAAUUAUGCCAGAUUGAUUUGCAAGCUCAGGUGGGAGGGGACCAAUAAGGUCAUUGCUGUUCAAGUCAAGCCAGAUAAGGCUCUUACACUUUCCAAGCUCUGGUGGUAUUCGUCCACUGAGUGAAUUGUUACCCAUUUGGAGUAUAGCAAGCCUAACGAGAUUUCCAAUACUAGGAGGGAUUUCUCCACUAAGCUGGUUGCUGGAAAGUGAUAUCCAAAUCAAAUUGGUACAACGGCCAAUGGACUUAGGAAUGCUUCCAGUAAGGAGAUUGUUGUUGAGAAUCAAAGUUUCAAGGUUUCCUCCAUUCUCGCAUAUGCCUUCCGGAAUAUCACCAGUGAGGUUGUUUGCCCACAUGACCAAGUCAGAAAGAUUUGGCAAGGUCCAAAUCUCUGAAGGAAUCUGACCAAUCAGAUUGUUGAAACUAAGAUCAAUUCUUCUCAGGUUUUUGCAGCUUCCAAGCUCUGAGGGCACUUUCCCUGACAGGUAAUUGUUGGCCAGAAGUAACUUCUGCAAUUUAGAGGGGUUAGAGGAGGUGCAGAACUCAGAAGGAACAUUCCCCGUAAAUGCAUUGGAACUAAGGUCAAGCUCUAGCAGCUGAGAACAAUUUGUCAGAGACAAGGGCACAGGACCAGUUAUGUUGUUGAAUGGUACGUAGAGAUAUUUCAGACUUUGAAGCCUACUGACAAUAGUAGGGAGGAAAUCACCUGAAAGGAAAUUGUGUCCGAGGUUUAGUCUCUGCAGAGAAGAACAUGAUACAAAAUUUAGCGGCAAGCCACCAGUGAGUUCAUUUGCUGAUAGAUCCAGCUCCUGCAGAGUCCCACAAGCCUGUCCCAAUUCCGGAGGAAUAUCACCAAAGAAGUGAUUGUCAGAUAGAGACAGCUGCUUCAAAUUCUUCAACCUUGCCAGUAUGGCACCAGGAAUCUUGAGAUUUAGUUCAUUAUGGGAGAGGUCAAGCGUCUCCAAAACCUUACAGUUGUUCAGACUAGUUGGAAACGCCGUGCCAGAAAGCCUGUUCCGUGACAAACUGACCAAACUGAGGUUGCUGCAGUGUCCAAAAUCCAGACCGGAGAAGCUGCCAGAAAAGUUAUUGUGGGAUAGAUCCAGAAUCUUGAGAGAUGGUAGAGAGUCUGCAACAAAGCUAGGCGGUAUCUCCCCAGAUAGCAAAUUACAUGAAAGGUCUAAAACUGACAGACUCUUGCAAGAUAUGGGACUUGUUUCAAGUUUGCCAGCGAGCUUGUUAUCAGAGAAAUUGAGGAAAUUCAAGUUCUGACAGAUAGAGAGAGAGCGAUUCAAGAAGGUAGAAUCAGAGAUGCGAUUGCCAUAGAGGUCAAGCUCCAGUAAAGAAGGACCAAACUGGACAGUGCCCCCAGGAAUGGAAUUAUGAGAGAGGUUAACACGAGCCAGACGAUUACAGGAGAACAGGAAGGACCUCCCUGGAAGAGGAUCAGAGAUGUUGUUGAAAGACAAGUCAAUAGUCUCUAGAGCGCAUGGAGUAGCAGAGGAGGCAGAGAGAUCACCAGCAGAGAACAAAUUGCCUCGUAGAAUAAGAUCGGUGAGAGCUGGCAAGGAAGUAAGGUCAGCGAGGUGAAGACUGCCAAUGAGGCCGGCGUUGGUGAGGUUUAGAGACGUCACACGACGGCCAUCAAGAGAACAAGAGACACCAAACCAUGAACAUGGACUAGGGGAAUCGGUAGUCCAGUUAGCUAAGACAUUUUUUGGAUCAGAUUGAACAGAGGAUCUCUUGAAGGUUAGCAACCCCACAAUAUCAUCAUUGCUACUUUGCUGUGAAGCCAAUUCUCUUGCUUGUGAUGGAAUGAUUAGAAGCAACAACGGUAUAUAGCCAAAAACAAAGAUUCCCAUGAUGCCUUGAUCUUGUGAUGAUACCCUCCUCCAUUCUCUCUUCAUUUUCUUGUCAGCUUUUCUUCAACAAGAAACCCUCUUCUUUACAUAAAGCAAGAAAAGAAAAUUCUAACUUGUUGCAGCCAUAGUGAUUUUACUAUUUCCUCUGCAUCUUCCAUUUGGCAGCAUCUUCCUCAUAUCAGUUUUAGAUGUGUUCUCGGUCAACUCUUUUUGGGUUUCACUUCUCCGUAUAUCUAAUCAUGACCUGUUGCUUGAAAAUCUGGUUUCAGUAGUAGGUUCAGUAGUAGGUUAUGUAAUGGGGCAUUGUGGCAAGUUGAGUACAGGUGCAAGAAGCUAUCAGUGGAGUCCGUUAAAAGAAGAGAGAGACACAGAGGAGAGAGAGAUAUUGGAUACGAGGUGCAGAACUGUCGGUUAGCACUCGAAACUUGGUACUUCAACAGGAAUCCUCGAGUGACGCCAACAAAAACACAGAAGCAAGACAAAUCCACCUCACCCAAAAACAACACAAAAGAAGAAAACUUUCACUCUUUCAGAUCAGACCCAGAAGAAGAAUUGAGGUGGGGGUUCUCCUUCCUUCUUCUUAGGUCUGGUAGGGCAUUGCAAUGGUGGGUUUAGAGGGAGAAAAAAUAAAUAAAUAAAUGAGAAGAAAGAAAGGUAAAGAAAAGGAGAGUCGUAGUAGAGCAAGUAAAGUGAGGAGAAUAGAAUUAGAAUUAGAAUAGUGAAGAGAAAGAAGAGGAAAUUGUGGGAAGAAUGGCAC
rnacentral:misc_RNA from 1 species